rnacentral:tRNA from 1 species
GGAGCGGUGACCGAGCGGCCGAAGGUGACGGUCUUGAAAACCGUUGUGCACCUUGUGCACCGUGGGUUCGAAUCCCACCCGCUCCG